GAGUUUGAUCAUGGUUCUGGACGAACGCUGGCGGCGUGCCUAACACAUGCAAGUCGAGCGAUGAAGCCCUUCGGGGUGAUUAGCGGCGGACGGGUGAGUAACACGUGGGUAACCUGCCUCAAAGAGGGGGAUAGCCUCCCGAAAGGGAGAUUAAUACCGCAUAACAUUAGCUUUUCGCAUGGAGAGCUAAUUAAAGGAGUAAUCCGCUUUGAGAUGGACCCGCGGCGCAUUAGCUAGUUGGUGAGGUAAAGGCUCACCAAGGCGACGAUGCGUAGCCGACCUGAGAGGGUGAUCGGCCACAUUGGAACUGAGACACGGUCCAGACUCCUACGGGAGGCAGCAGUGGGGAAUAUUGCGCAAUGGGCGAAAGCCUGAUGCAGCAACGCCGCGUGAGUGAUGAAGGCCUUCGGGUUGUAAAGCUCUGUCUUUGGGGACGAUAAUGACGGUACCCAAGGAGGAAGCCACGGCU
rnacentral:rRNA from 1 species